GGCUGGAUAGCUCAGUUGGUAGAGCAACGGACUGAAAAUCCGUGUGUCCGCGGUUCGAACCCGCGUCCAGCCACCA
rnacentral:tRNA from 1 species